rnacentral:piRNA from 1 species
UCCUGUGGCCUUGAUUCAGAUUAGCUGU